rnacentral:rRNA from 1 species
GACGAACGCUGGCGGCGUGCCUAAUACAUGCAAGUCGAGCGAAUCGAUGGGAGCUUGCUCCCUGAGAUUAGCGGCGGACGGGUGAGUAACACGUGGGUAACCUGCCUGUAAGACUGGGAUAACUUCGGGAAACCGGAGCUAAUACCGGAUACUUUCUUUUCUCGCAUGAGGGAAGAUGGAAAGAUGGUUCUGCUAUCACUUACAGAUGGACCCGCGGCGCAUUAGCUAGUUGGUGAGGUAACGGCUCACCAAGGCGACGAUGCGUAGCCGACCAGAGAGGGUGAGCGGCCACACUGGGACUGAGACACGGCCCAGACUCCUACGGGAGGCAGCAGUAGGGAAUCUUCCGCAAUGGACGAAAGUCUGACGGAGCAACGCCGCGUGAGCGAAGAAGGCCUUCGGGUCGUAAAGCUCUGUUGUUAGGGAAGAACAAGUACGAGAGUAACUGCUCGUACCUUGACGGUACCUAACCAGAAAGCCACGGCUAACUACGUGCCAGCCGCCGCCGUAAGAC